AGCAAGCUGUGAGCCGGAGGUUUCCGAAUGGGGCAACCCCAAGAACAGCCUGUUGAAUCCAUAGACAGGUAUGAGCGAACCCAGCGAACUGAAACAUCUUAGUAGCUGGAGGAAAAGAAAUCAAAAGAGAUUCCCAAAGUAGCGGUGAGCGAAAUGGGACCAGCCUAAACCAGCAGUUAAAACUGGUGGGGUAGUGGGACAGCAAAAGGGAACGAGAAAGUUAGACGAAGCAGCUGAAAACUGCACCAGAGAAGGUGAAAGUCCUGUAGUCGAAAACGGACUCGUCCUAGCUGACUCCCGAGUAGCACGGGACACGUGGAAUCCCGUGUGAAUCAGCGAGGACCAUCUCGUAAGGCUAAAUACUACUGCGUGACCGAUAG
rnacentral:rRNA from 1 species